rnacentral:rRNA from 1 species
CGUGAAAUUGUUGAAAGGGAAGCGUUUAUGACCAGACUUGGACUUGGUUAAUCAUCUGGGGUUCUCCCCAGUGCUCUUUUCCAGUUCAGGCCAGCAUCAGUUUUCCCCGGGGGAUAAAGGCGGCGGGAAUGUGGCUCUCUUCGGGGAGUGUUAUAGCCCGCCGUGUAAUACCCUGGGGGGGACUGAGGUUCGCGCAUCUGCAAGGAUGCUGGCGUAAUGGUCAUCAACGACCCGUCUUGAAACACGG